rnacentral:rRNA from 1 species
UUAUAGCUUGCUAUGAUAAAAAUUAGUGGCAGACGGGUGAGUAAUGCAUAGGAAUCUACCUAGUAGUAUGGGAUAGCCACUAGAAAUGGUGGGUAAUACUGUAUAAUCCCUGCGGGGGAAAGAUUUAUCGCUAUUAGAUGAGCCUAUGUUAGAUUAGCUAGUUGGUAGGGUAAAGGCCUACCAAGGCAGUGAUCUAUAGCUGGUCUGAGAGGAUGAUCAGCCACACUGGAACUGAGAUACGGUCCAGACUCCUACGGGAGGCAGCAGUGGGGAAUAUUGGACAAUGGGCGCAAGCCUGAUCCAGCUAUGCCGCGUGAGUGAGGAAGGCCUUAGGGUUGUAAAACUCUUUCAGUGGGGAAGAUAAUGACGGUACCCACAGAAGAAGUCCCGGCAAACUCCGUGCCAGCAGCCGCGGUAAUACGGAGGGGGCAAGCGUUGUUCGGAAUUAUUGGGCGUAAAGGG